UUUUUUCUGUUACUGCAGUAUCUUACACUGAUUGAUUUUCAUAUGUUGAACUAUCCUUGCAUUCCAGGAAUAAAUCCCACAUCAUCAUGUGUAUAAUCCUUUUAAUAUGCUGUUGAAUUUGGUUUACUAGUAUUUUGUUGAGAAUUUUAAUAUUAAUAUUUAUAAGGACUAUAGAUCUGUAAUUUUCUUGUAUAUCUUCGGCUUUGAUAUCAGGCUAAUGCUGGGCUUGUAGAAAUAUUUAAGAAAUAUUCCUUCCUUUUCAAAUUUUAAGAAGAAUUUGAGAAGGGUUGGUGUUAAUUCUGAAAUGUUUGGUAGAUUCACCAACAAAGCUAUCUUGUCCUCUUGUCCUGCUCUCUUCUUCAUUGGGAGGUUCCGAGUCAUUCUUUUUUUUUUUUUGCUUUUCAGGGCCACACCCAUGGCAUAUGGAGCCCAAAGAAAUAGCAAAAAAUUAAAAAAAUAAAUAAAUAAAAUAAAUCAAUGUCUUAAAAAAAAAAAAAAAGAAAGAAAACAUUUCCCUAUAUUUGAACCCAGGAGAUGUCUCUGCUAUGACUCUUAUUCUGCCCUAGGAGCCAAACAGAGCAAGAAGAAACACUUUCCACAGAUCUACUCUUCAAAUAUUUGGGGGUUAGGACUCAUAUCUUUUGGAGACUCUGCCUGUUUCACCAUUUUCAAUUUCUCCCCCUUCCCUGAACUAAUGAACCAGCCAAACCCAAACUCAUCAUAGCCUCCAGGGUCCCACAGAACUGGGGCCCUGCCCACCCUGCCAACCUCAGCUCACACGCUUCUCUUUUGGGCUCACCUUGCUUCAGCUACACAGCCUCUUUUCUGUUGGGCAACACUGCCAAGCUCUUCCCUGCCUUCUCUUCAGCUCCGUGACUAGAGGGCUUAUGGAUGCUCGGGCAGAUCCCUGACCCUCACCGAGGUCUCCCUGGUAGAUAAAGUCCCUGACUACUCAUAGAAUCUCCCAGAUCCCCCAGGUGGCAUGGAUGGCAGCAGGGCAGCUGGAGUGGGGACCCAGACUUGGCUGGCCCAUGGCAUCUGAAUUGAGGGAAAAACGGAAAGAGGUCAAAAAGGGAGAGAACCAGAGGUGACUUUUCCACCUCGCCCUGUCUGGAAGCAUCUCACCCACCCCUGGUCCACUCCAGGGUCCCACAUGUGAGACAGUGCUGGUGUCUCCCUAUGGUGUGCCCUCUCUCCACUGAGUGGUCCCCGCCCCCAGGCUUGCCUUUGUCCCUUUGUCCAGGGCCCAUGCUCCUCCUCUUUUGGUUUCUCAGCGUCCUCAUGCUUCCAUCCCAAGCUGAGCUGGCCCAGGAGACAGCCAUUGCAUGAGAGCCUUGGGGACAGUGUGGCAGGUGUGACUCUGGGACCCUGGCUCUUGCCUCAGCUAAAGCUUGAGGGAGCUUCCCACUUGAUGGGAAGGUAGGAGGCUCAAGCAUGGGGGUGUGGAGGUGGGGCGGUCAGCCAGAGGCUAAGAUAUGGCUGCUUAUCCUGGGGAUCCACCCACCAGCCAUGUGUGCCACCCAGGCAAGUCCUCUCUGGCCCUAUCACGCCCAUGUGUGAAAGGGGAUCCAGCUGAGUCGUCUCUGGGACCCCCUCAGCUCUGACAUCCUGAGUCUCCGGGCCCAGGAGCUGGGACAUUGAGUGGUCCCUGGCUGAGCCCUCCCCGCCUCAGUGCUCCCAGAGCCCCUCCCCCCCAGCAGUUCCCUUCCACACUGCCCCGCCCCCGCGUCCCAUCCAUCCUCCUCUCCGCUGUAGCUGCUGCUUAACCUCCACAGGGGGCCGAGGAGCC
rnacentral:lncRNA from 1 species